GCCCUUGUAGCUCAGUUGGCAGAGCACUUCCUUGGUAAGGAAGAGGUCACCGGUUCGAUCCCGGUCGAGGGCU
rnacentral:tRNA from 1 species